UAGCUGGUAGCUUGCAGGUUGAGGGUG
rnacentral:misc_RNA from 1 species